rnacentral:rRNA from 1 species
UACGUAGGGUGCAAGCGUUGUCCGGAAUUAUUGGGCGUAAAGAGCUCGUAGGCGGACUGUCACGUCUGCUGUGAAAAGCUGGGGCUUAACCCUGGCCUUGCAGUGGAUACGGGCAGACUAGAGGUAGGUAGGGGAGAAUGGAAUUCCCGGUGUAGCGGUGAAAUGCGCAGAUAUCGGGAGGAACACCGGUGGCGAAGGCGACUUCCUGGCCUGUUCUUGACGCUGAGGCGCGAAAGCUAGGGGAGCAAACGGG